ACGUGUUACAAUGGCAGGUACAGAGGGGUGCUACCGGGUGACCGGAUGCCGAUCUCGAAAACCUGUCCCAGUUCGGACUGGAGUCUGCAACCCGACUCCACGAAGUUGGAUUCGCUAGUAAUCGCGCAUCAGCCAUGGCGCGGUGAAUACGUUCCCGGGCCUUGUACACACCGCCCGUCAAGCCAUGGGAGCCGGGGGCGCCUGAAGUCCGGGACCGCGAGGACCGGCCUAGGGCGAAACUGGUGACUGGGGCUAAGUCGUAACAAGGUAGC
rnacentral:rRNA from 1 species